GAUGAAGAACGCAGCGAAAUGCGAUACGUAGUGUGAAUUGCAGAAUUCAGUGAAUCAUCGAAUCUUUGAACGCACAUUGCACCUCUCGGUAUUCCGGGAGGUAUGCCUGUUCGAGCGUCAUUUGUACCCUCAAGCUCUGCUUGGUGUUGGGUGUUUGUUCCGCCUCUGUGUGUGAACUCGCCUCAAAACAAUUGGCAGCCGGCGUACUUGUUUCGGAGCGCAGCACAUUUUGCGAUCCAGAUCAACGUACAGCGGCAUCCAAGAAGCCUUAUUUAACGCUCUUGACCUCGGAUCAGGUAGGGAUACCCUCUGAACUUAAGCAUAUCAAUAAGCGGAGGA
rnacentral:misc_RNA from 1 species